ACUGAAUCUGUCAUGCCAUCAGAAUUCCUGGCUGUUGAUAUGGUCCAACUGAGAACUUCUGUCUAAAAUAAAGUUGUGGCUGUAUAAAAGGAGAGGGAUCUGAAAUAUGUUGUGGAGACAGGACUGUAUCACGAGGAGAAAAUGAUAUAUUUGAAAGUCUCUUAAAAAACGCACCAACAAAUGAAUUCAUCCAAAAAGCUCUUCAUCUGACCAUCUUCCUCUGAAGCACGUUCAAACUCUCCCACCUCUGACCCUUCUUUAGAACCAUGUCACCUCCUUUCACUCCUCACUGCAUGGAAGAGCCGUAUAAAGCAUAACAUUCCAUCUAGA